rnacentral:rRNA from 1 species
GAUCAUGGCUAAGGAUGAACGCUAGCUACAGGCUUAACACAUGCAAGUCGAGGGGCGAGCAUGGUCUUAGCUUGCUAAGGCCGAUGGCGACCGGCGCACGGGUGAGUAACACGUAUCCAACCUGCCGUCUACUCUUGGACAGCCUUCUGAAAGGAAGAUUAAUACAAGAUGGCAUCAUGAGUCCGCAUGUUCACAUGAUUAAAGGUAUUCCGGUAGACGAUGGGG